UACGGGGGGGGUAAGCGUUGUUCGGAAUUACUGGGCGUAAAGCGUGCGCAGGCGGUGAUGUAAGACAGUUGUGAAAUCCCCGGGCUCAACCUGGGAACUGCAUCUGUGACUGCAUUGCUGGAGUGCGGCAGAGGGGGAUGGAAUUCCGCGUGUAGCAGUGAAAUGCGUAGAUAUGCGGAGGAACACCGAUGGCGAAGGCAAUCCCCUGGGCCUGCACUGACGCUCAUGCACGAAAGCGUGGGGAGCAAACAGG
rnacentral:rRNA from 1 species